CACCAGGCCUCGCCGCUCCGUGUUGAACCCUCCCACGGAGUCCAGGAUCUUCUUCGUGUCCUGGCUGAUGUGGAUCCUUAAGGCUGAAACGAGGAGGCCCAAGGCAUGCUUUAGAAGUCAACUCAGCGAUUGGAAAUUAAAUUCAAGCUACCACUGGACCAGUGUGUACCCCACUGCGCAGUUGAAUGUGCACGCCAGGCCUUUUCGGUAUUUGGAAGAACGACGACGCCGAUAGCAAGUCCAGAGCCAACGUGGCAAUUUCCGAGGCGUGCUUGUCCCCUGCGAUGAGCAAAAAGAAAUCCAUACAAGAUCAACGUGCUUCCUCGCUCGUUUACCUUACAUUAUGAUGUAACUCCAGCUGAAGCUUGCGAAGUUCGUCAGUGUAUGUUGCCAGUGUCUCAAAGUACGCCACCGUAUCGUCCACACUUGGCUGUCGAUUCUUGUUGCGAAGGAUUUCGUCUCUCCUGUCUGCCGUAGUUGAGCAUCGUACGAGUGAGUUCAACGUAGAGCGGCUUCAGGGAUGGCACGACGGUCAGGGACAGGGUCAGAAGAUCACGACUCAGGGUACUCCAAACUCCACAGCAAUUUCUUCAGUGCCACCAAGUACCUGGAACGUGACGGAUGACCAAUGACUUUGAAUUAACGAUUGCGAAAAUGGUCCCACGUUUUGCCGCAGUCCCGGUUUCAAGAGACACCACGAGCCCUAAUUAAGCGACUGAGAAUAAAAUCAGAGAAAGCUGUAUCCUGGUGAUCAACAUGUCCAGCUGGGCCGCUCUCGUUAUCUGAAUCGUUCGAGAAACUCGUCAAGCGAACCCGUCCAACAAAAGUAGCGGGUUCAGGAACGAGAGAAGUAGGAGGCGCCUUACCUGAGUU